rnacentral:rRNA from 1 species
UACGGGGGGUGCGAGCGUUGUCCGGAAUUAUUGGGCGUAAAGGGCUCGUAGGCGGUCUGUCGCGUCGGGAGUGAAAACUCAGGGCUUAACCCUGAGCCUGCUUCCGAUACGGGCAGACUAGAGGUAUGCAGGGGAGAACGGAAUUCCUGGUGUAGCGGUGGAAUGCGCAGAUAUCAGGAAGAACACCCGUGGCGAAGGCGGUUCUCUGGGACGGUACUGACGCUGAGACGCGAAAGCGUGGGGAGCGAACAGG